rnacentral:Y_RNA from 1 species
GGCUGGUCUGAAGGUAGUGAGUUAUCUCAAUUGAUUGUUCGCGGUCAGUUAACCGAUCGAACUCCUUGUUCUACUCUUUCCCUGCUUCUCACUACUGCACUUGACUAGUCUAAA